GAUUUCUCUUACUAGACAGAGGCCUUUCUCUUCUAUCUCUAGACAGCGACCUGCUCCGGCUUUGGGAGAAGCUUCUCCUUCUUGGAGGUCUGCGCUCAGGCACAGCAUAACUAUAUUCUAGAUUUUAUUCUCAAAUUCCGGUGCCCUGGAGGAAGAGAAGCAGUGUGGGCACAAGCCAAGAAGCUGCCCACGUACUCUGGCUCUCGUUCUGUGAUUCAUCCACAUUAAAUGGAUAAAGCACCAAGCUUAGGAGAGUGAGGACAACAUAAAUACCCCAGUUGAGGGAUGAAGGAUGAGUGUGACAUCUAUGUAUCAAGGAGAGAAACAUGAGGGAAAAAGUGUUUCAGUAAAGCCAACAACAUGUGCAAAGGAUAAAAGAUGGACAGUUUUAUUCAUCUUCAACACAGCCCAGCCUUGAGGACGGUCUAAAUACUCUCCAGGUGACCUUAAUGUUGAGUCAGAACAUUGGUAAAAAGAAAAGGGAUAAGGAGAAAUGAUGCUGACGGAGUCACCUCAACAGAUCUCAGGAGGCUUAGGAGACCUUGUGUUUUCUUCUCUAAGCACUUGGAAAUGAAACAUUUUCCUCUUAAAAGGAAUAAUGACCUGAUUAGACUUGUAUACAUCAAAACAUUCCUC